rnacentral:tRNA from 1 species
GCUGGGGCUCAGUGGUAGAGUGCUCGCUGAGCAAACGUGAGGUCCUAGGUUCGAUUCUCAGCACUGCA